rnacentral:rRNA from 1 species
UGAACGCUGGCGGUAUGCUUUACACAUGCAAGUCGUACGAGAGUUUUUAACUCAAGUGGCGGACGGGUGAGUAACACGUAAGAAUUUGCCUUUAGGAGGGGGAUAACAACUGGAAACGGUUGCUAAUACCCCAUAUGCUUUCGAGUGAAAUGGUUUUUCCGCCUAGAGAGAAGCUUGCGGCUGAUUAGCUUGUUGGGGAGGUAAUGGCUCACCAAGGCGACGAUCAGUAUCUGGUUUGAGAGGACGAUCAGACACACUGGAACUGAGACACGGUCCAGACUCCUACGGGAGGCAGCAGUGGGGAAUUUUCCGCAAUGGGCGAAAGCCUGACGGAGCAAUACCGCGUGAGGGAUGACGGCCUAUGGGUUGUAAACCUCUUUUUUCAGGGAGGAAUAAAUGACGUGUACCUGAGGAAUAAGCAUCGGCUAACUCC